rnacentral:misc_RNA from 1 species
GCAGCGGUACCGGACGAGCGAAGCGACGGAGGAUAAGAAGCUGCCCCUUUGUG